rnacentral:tRNA from 1 species
GGGGCAGUAGCUCAGUGGUAGUGCUCCCGCCUCUUGUGCGGGAAGACCUACAUUCGACUCUCGGCUGCCUCA